rnacentral:lncRNA from 10 species
AAUCUGUGGGGAGUGCUAACCAGACAGUCCUGGGAGUCCUGCGGUAAUAGGAUUAGUUGCGAAGGUCUGCUGGGCAUUAAAAACAACUGUGGUCACUUUAGCAUGUGCUCCAGAAUAGCCUGCCAAAACAAACUGGUUAAUUUUUCUCUUUAAGGGGUUUGCUUUCUGAUCAUCUUUCAGAAUGGCAAAUACUAAACACCAUCAGGUAAUGCUGGACUAACCACUCACUGAAGAGUAUCUACUGUUUAGUCUUUACCUUUUUACCUUCCUGUCACACACAACAGGCAGGAAACAGGGUGUCAAAGAUGAGGAGGUUUGUUCGGCAACACAUUUCUUUUUUAACCUCAGGAGUUAUAAGAUCAUACAUCUCUGCUCCGAAAGCACUGACUUGGACAGCUGGAAUUGUGGUGACAAGAAACGUAUGUUAAUACUUUUUCAUUUAACCAGAACAAGGUAAUCUGAGCCAACCAAAAAGCAUUUCUCUCUUCCCCGCUCACAACACUGAGGAAUGUCAGAGGCCCUCAGGGAGUGAGGAUGCUUUAUGCGGAGUGGCCUGGGAAGGCCGGAAACCACUUAUUGGCUUUACCACUCUAAACCUCUGAAACAGUCAUGUCUCUUCUCAGACCUUUAUAUUUAGACUCCAGACAUCCUUGAGUCACACUUGCUAUAUUAAUACAGUUAAGGCAUCAAAUUAUCAUUAUCGGUAGCAAAACUUCUCUCCCUGUUUUACGACACAGGUAGUUUCAAUAAAAAGUUUUAUACCAGAAAAGAGGAGCUGUGGGCCUCUAUUUCACUUCACUACUCUUUUUCAAAUCAUGUCAGAUGUUAUUUCCUAUGUCUGGAGUCUUUCUGGAUUCUUCUUCUUCUUCUUCUUCUUCUUCUUCUUAUUAUUAUUAUUAUUAUUGGUGUAUAUGUUUACUUCUUAAGCAAGGUUAGAAUUCCAUCUUCAUGUUCAGAUUCUCUUCCACUAUAAUUGUUUUAUUUGUUUGUUUGUUUGUUUUUUCCUGAGACAGAGUCUCACUCUGAUGCCCAGGCUGGAGUAUAGUGGUGCGAUCACGGCUCACAGCAGCCUCAACCUCCCGGGUUCAAGAGAUCUUCCCACCUCAGCCUCCCUAUUAGUUGAGACUAUGGGCACAUCUCACCAUGCCUGGCUAAUUUUUGUAUUUUUUGUAGAUAUGCUGUUUCACCAUGUUGCCCCAGCUGGUCUUGAACUCCUGGGCUAAAACAAUCUACCUGGCUUGGCCUCCCAAAGUGCUGGGAUUACAGGCAUGAGCCACUGUGCCCAGCUCUCUUCCAUUAUAAUUUCACCAUUACCAACCACCUCAGGUAAUGGUUUAUUUCAAAAUUUGGUGAGUAAAGAAAUACUUAUCGUAUAGUUAACAUAUACUGGUUGCUCACUAUGGGCUGAGUACUUCACACUUUGCCUUUUCAAUCUUUAUAAUAAUUCUAUGAGUUAAAUAAUAGUAUUGCCCACAUUUUACAGCUAAAGACACUGAAAACUUACGGUCACUGAAAACUUACGAUCCAGGAUCAUAUUGUUAGUAAGUAGAAGAGCAAAAAUUUGAACCUGGAUAGUCAGAGUCCAGAUCGCACAUUUUCUUAGCUACUACAACACAUUGCCAGGUACUAAGUGAGGUGCCAGGGAAUGAAGUUGAAUAAGAUGAAUGACCUAAAAGAGUUCAUAAGUUAGUAUGGAACUGGAUAUUUUACACUAACAAUAUAUCCCUAUUCCUUGGCUCCCAAGUGUACAUCCACAUACAACAGUUUGAGUCUGAACCACAAUAAACUUAACUAGCCAUCUGCAUUGAUUUUUUUUACCCUUCUUGGCAAAUCAAUUUACAAGUGUCAUGGAAGAAAUAUUAAGAUUACAGAAAUAGCUUUCUUCAGCUUUUCUCCCCAUCUUCAAGGGGUAAGUAGCAUUAGGAAAGACUGAUAGCCAAAAUAUUUGCAUUCAAUAUCAGAGGCAAAAUCAAAAAGGACAGCUCUGCAUUGUAAUUCUUCCUACAUAGACAAGUGACGAGAGAAACCAAGCUAGUCUAAUCAGAGGAAUAUUUCCACUCAAGUGUCAAUUCUUAUGAUCAAAAAACAUAAUUUUUUAACUUAUUUAUGGAUUCACAUUGGUAAUUGCUAUCUUGGAAAAGAUCACCUUCCCAGUAUAAGUAGUGUCCUUAAAAUAAAAGGCAUUGUUAUUUUAACAGAAUACAUCAUCUAUGACCUUGUUGCCCUAGAGGCUGCUUGUGGGGCCUGAAAAGCCAGAGCACAGAUGAAGGGUAUAUUUCCCCAAGUCAUGCUCUUUGACAGUUACACCUGACCCAUUGAACAAGUGAACAGGUUUUCUCAUUUGCUUGUUUGAUUUCCUGAUCAGAGGCGUCAUUCAUAAUAUGUACAUACAGAUGAGCCUAUGAGUAUGUGUGGCUUGUUCAUUAAUCAACCCAGAUGUUGUUAAUUUGCUUAAAUAGGGUUAUAAAAAGAAAUAGGAGAAAAAAUAACAAAUCCAGGAUGUCUCAUCUCUGGAUUCUAUAUUAAAACUGUAAAGAACAACUUUGUUAGUUUAAACGGUGGUAGUAUAGAAAGGGGAUAUAAACGAAAAAUAAAAUACUGAAUUGCCACAUAUUUAGAGUCUGUGUUAAAAUUGGAAAGAUGUUAGAUGACUUCAUAAUUUUGGUAUUGCUUCUUCAAGUCAAAACAGCGUGUUGCUUCCAGGAUUUUGGUGAACACAGCAGUGUGAGUUGCAGUGCUUCGGUGCUCAUAGAAGAAUUUCAAAUACUUCAGAGCAUUCGUUUUCAUGGAACCCUUCCUCUCCCCCACACAUAAUGGGCACAUUUCUUAAGUGAGGCAAUUUAAAUACUAAAGCAACAGACAAAACCUUGCAACACCAAAGAGGCAGGAAGUAGUAAGCGUUGAGGAAGAAAUCAAUACUGCACAAAUCCAUGCUUUUACAUAUACAUUAUUACAUAUGUGGGAGCAUUCAUGGCAUUGUGUGCUGCAGAAUAACUGCUCUCUGCCUCCAUUUACUAUCCAUGAAGCAAACUGCCCAAGGAAGAUGUUAGUCUUCUACUGAAGGUAGUUGAUGGUUAACUGGAAAUGAAAUUUUCAUUGUUUUUGACUAAGACAACAUGGGAACUAAACGUCUUUCAAAAAUUCCACAUUUUACCUCCAUGUUUGCCUUGUUUGUAGAAACAUCUGGACUUUGUGAGAAUUAUAAGCCUUCAGAAUGUCUUUAUUAGGGGUAUGAUUCUAUUCAAAACUGCAAGGAAAUGCCUGUCUACUCACAAUAUUUACUCAACACUAUGAUACUGAUUUUUCAUCAGAAGUUUCCUGAUUCCCCAGUUAAGGAAAAAAGAAAGAGAUAGACAGGGAAGGAAAGAAAGAGAUAUACAGGGAAGGAAAGAAAGAUAGAAGCUGUUCCUAUGCUAGGCCCUGUUUUCUUUCAGGAAAGGAAGAGGAAUCUGGUUCGACAGCCAACACAGAAUGCCAAACACAUGAGGUGAUGUUAAUAACAAUAACAAAAAGACAAAAAUGAACUCAGCACUUCCACCCAGGUGCCACAUAUGUGAUGUCUGACCCAGAUAGAGUCAUUAGCUAAGGGAACAAAAUAAACCUCUCUAGUUAAAGCAAUAGGGCAGGGGCAGAUAUGAUAAGAGUUAGCAUAGUAGAUUAAAAGAUAAAGAUUUCUGAAUAAUGUGCUGCUGACACUAAUUUUCUGCAAAGUGGUAGAAAAAGCACUACUUCAGCUCUUUCUACAUUAUUUCUUCACUUGAGGAUAAUUGUGCCAUUUUUACAUACAAAGAUGGCACUGUGAAGCUCUCUUCAGCAUCCCCCACCCCUACUUCAGGAUAAUAACAGUACAGGGAUCUAUCCAAACCUCAAAACCAACCCCAUUUCUGUAGGCUGGUAGGUUACAGCUAGAAGAGUACAUUAUUACCUUAGUAGAGAAAAAAGGUAGCACAUACCAUUGGUCCAUUUAACACUAUGCUCAAGCUUUCUGGACCACUUGACCAGGUAGGAUGUUGAUAAGUAUUCAGCACUUACACUUCCUUGCUUCUCUUACAGGCUCACAAUUUCCAGAGGUGUUGAAGAAUGAUUGCAGGAAAGUGACUAUCAUACUAUGGAACCCAAUCUACUACUUGUCAAUGCCAGUGGAGAGCAGGGGGUCAUAUGACCUCUCCCCUUUCUGGAUCUUUCUCUCAUACUCACUUCCUCACAGGUGCAAGAGUUUCAGAAGCUGCUUCUACCCUGAGUAACAGUGCUGAGAACUCACUGGAUUGCCCAUGAUCAGUGGGUUCUGGAAGCAAAUGGACAGAAGGAAUUCAAGAUUAACACAGAAAGAGACCAUGACAUCACCACCACAUGCAUGUGGCCUCCAGACAGUAACUGUAAUAUGAGAAACAUCAUACAAUAAUUCAGAAAGUAAUUUCAAGCACCUGCUUUGUGGUAUUAAAAACCCAGAGAAAGUUAUGUGUGCCCAGUUUUAGAAUUUUUCCUGCUCGUUUUAAAAAUUUAUAUUUAGGUUUAAUAAUAUAUAAGCAUAAAAUAGGGAUAACAUAAAUGAGCACUUACUAUAUUCCAGGCGCCACUCUAAUGGUUUCAAGGCGUUUUUUCUUUUUUGUUUUUUUUUUUCUCUCUCACUGAAACAUCACAAUAAUGCUAUUAGGCAGGUUCUAUUAUCAUUCCCAUUUUAUAGACAAGUAAACUUGAAGACAAAUCUUUUUGUCCUUUUUCCAUUUUAUGCAAUGCUAAUUUUAGGCAGAGUACAUAUUUCAAUUAGUAGUUUCCCUUUUCCCAUCACACAAGAAAGAUGUGCUUUGUCUCCCCGAGACAUUUAUUAUUAGAGGAAUAACAGUAAAAUUGAGAGAGAGGAACAAAAAAACCAAUACAUAAAAACAGUGCAAUUUAAAAAAUCAAGUUGAAUUAUUUGGUUGCUUAUUGGCUCAAAGAGACAUUGGGACUUUGCCUCCCAACAAAACCAUUAUUUUUUUUUUCAAUAGUUUCCAACCUAAAUUUCUGAAAUAUUUCUGUUUUAUUAUUUACUAGGUAACAUCCUGUUUAUCAGAAGGGGAAACUAAUGACACUUUAGCUUAUCUCAUUAUAAAACAAAUAGAACCCGGAAUUAUUAAAGUUCUUUUUUAAAUAAAAUAAAAUCAAUGCUUUGGUAAACUUUUUUCUUUUUUUUUGAGACAGAGUCUUGCUCUGUCACCCAGGCUGGAGUGCAGUGGCGUGAUCUCACUCACUGCAGCCUCCACGACCCGGGUUCAAACAAUUCUCCUGCCUCAGCCUCCUGAGUAGCUGGGACUACAGGUGCACGUCCCCACAUCCAGAUCAUUUCUUUUGUAGUUUAGUAGAGACAGGGUUUCUUACUUAACUGUUUCACACCUUUGAACUUGCAUUCUAACGGCAAUCAUUGGAAGCUUAUGUGCACUUCUACGGUGUCUUCCUCUUCCCCCUACUUACCAGGUGCCUUUUGGCUAUGCUUGUUGUUCUGUGAUCUAGAAGUUAUCUUUGAAUCUCUCCCAUCAAACAGAAUGUUGAUACAUGCUUGUUACUUAAAAAUGUUCAAAUGAUUAAUAAAUGAAGAAAUAAAUGAAUAGAGGAAUCUUUUAAAGGUGACGAGGAUAUGGAAAAAUAAUUUAAAAAAAACUUCUUGUAAAUGAAACUGAUUGAAACAUCGCCUAGUUCUUUAAGCUCUGGGUUAGUCAGGUUUGCUGGUUUUAAUUCCUCUCUCCUCCAGAGUAUCAUAUCUAUCUUUACUCUGGACCUUUCUUGAGAAACUUAGAUCAAAUGUAAAGGCUUCCUUGGAACCAAUAAAACAAAAUUACUUAUGUUACAUGUGCCAUGUCAUACCUUCCUUUAAAAUAACACCCAUACAAACACAGACACAUACAUGUUCUCAUAUACACUCAUACAUAUUCACACAUAUGCUUAUAUAAACAACAAACACUAUCACUAUCAUGUUUUAAUAUGGUUAUUGGUGCAUGGUGUCCCUUAGUUCCUUGCAAGCACUUCCUACAUGUUUUCUCACUCAGUAAAGCAUGUGUGUGUCUGUGUGUUUCCAACAUAAUUUUACAGCUAGAUAUUUAAAUCCCAUUCUGGUUCAUAAACUUGUCUGGACCAUCAAGUACAUGUUUUUGCUUUUUCAACACUAGGAAUUUCCCAGGCUCACUGGCAAAACCAAUCAAAUGUCUGUUUCUGUUUCAAAGAUGAACUAUUCAAACUUAUUGGCUUGUACCUGCCUUCUCCCUGCCUCUCCUCUAUCCCUGUGUUACCAAUCUUAAAACAUUAAGUAUGUUGAAAUGAUUCUUAGGUUGGGUGGCAGAAACCACAGGUAUGAG